UAAGACGAACCGUGCAAACGUUGUUCGGAAUCACUGGGCUUAAAGGGCGCGUAGGCGGGCAAGCAAGUCCGGGGUGAAAUCUUUCGGCUCAACCGGAAAAGUGCCUUGGAUACUGCUUGUCUGGAGGGAGGUAGGGGCAUGUGGAACUUCUGGUGGAGCGGUGAAAUGCGUUGAUAUCAGAAGGAACGCCGGUGGCGAAAGCGACGUGCUGGACCUCUUCUGACGCUGAGGCGCGAAAGCUAGGGGAGCAAACGGGAUUAGAUACCCCGGUAGUCCUAGCCCUAAACGAUGGGUACUAGAUUGUGGACUAGACAUGGGUUCCCAGUCGAAGCAAAAGUGUUAAGUACCCCGCCUGGGGAGUAUGGUCGCAAGGCUG
rnacentral:rRNA from 1 species